rnacentral:rRNA from 1 species
UACGGAGGAUCCAAGCGUUAUCCGGAUUCAUUGGGUUUAAAGGGUGCGUAGGCGGAAUGAUAAGUCAGUGGUGAAAUCGCAGAGCUUAACUCUGAAACUGCCAUUGAUACUGUCAAUCUUGAGUACAUUUGAUGUGGGCGGAAUGUGUCAUGUAGCGGUGAAAUGCUUAGAUAUGACACAGAACACCGAUUGCGAAGGCAGCUCACAAAACUGUAACUGACGCUGAGGCACGAAAGCGUGGGUAUCAAACAGG